AAUAAUCUCAGCUUGUCAGCAGCUAGAACAAGCACUUGUAAUGCAUAACUCUAACAAUCUAAGUUGUCCCAAAGGAUUAUGUUGUAGCCAUUGCAGCCAUGUCUCUAGUGAUCGACUGGAUUGAUUCUAAAACUUUGCUUUGCAUAGCACUACAACCUGUUCAACAACGUCAGUCACAGUUUCAAAACAUACACUGUUGCUGUCUCACCUGACGAGGAGGGGAUCAUCACCGCCUGGAAGGGAAAAACAAAACAGAAUUCAAUAAUGAUGUUUUUGUAUGGCAA